AGUAGGGUUGUACUGCUCUGCCCCCCUGGAGUUACAUAUGGCCGUGUGAUUGCUUUCCCAGUAAAAUGUGGCCAGAAGUCAUGUGUCACUUCAGGAUCUAUAAUCUGCCAUACGGACUCUUUCCCUCUGUCCUGGCAGUCGCUACUUCUGCUGCAAUUUAUUGACCACAGUAAGUCACAAGGCCCAGCUGGUAUAAAGGUUUGGGGGAAUCGAUUCUCCUUCGUCUUGAGAGGAGUUGCAAAGUCCCAUCGCAAAAGGUGUAGAUUCAGAACACUCCUGACGCCAAGUGUGUGGAGUUUUACUUCCUCAUACCAACCAAUUCUGCCGCUUUCUGGGCACCCACUGGAUAGACUACAAUUUAAUUCAAUUCUGACACUAACUACUCAGAGUUGGCACAGACCCCACAGUACUACAAGACGGCCCCCACUCCAGAUGUCAGUCCCAAGUCUGGGCAACUCUACUUCUGACUUACCAGCCAUGAAGUUGGGGGUUUCCAUGACCCCUGCCUCAUAUAGUUGGCUAAAAUGGCUCAUGGAACUCUGAGAAUCAUUUUACUUAAUAUUACUGAUUUUUUAUAAAGGAAUACAACUCAGGAACAGCCGGAUGGAAGAGAUGGAUAAGGCAAGGACUGGUGUCUUUCCAUGCAGAGGAACAGGCAGCAGGGACACAUGAGCACAGAGGAAAGACCCAGUGGGAACACAGCAAGAAGGCGGCCAUCUGCAAGGCUGAAGGAAAAACCAUACCUACUGACCGUUUGGCUUUGGACUUCCCACCUCCGGAACUGCCAGAAAUAGUUUGUGUUUAAGUCACCCUGUCUGUGGUAUUUUGUUACAAGAACCCAAGCAGACUAAUACACACCUCAUCUUACCCAUCAUUCUGCUAAUCUGUAGGGACUCCUCCUGGGGAUCCUGGCAUAUGUCUCAUUUUUAUCCCUAAUACCUGAUCCUGCUGAAUUUUUCUUGCAUUUUAGAUGUUUUAUAGGCUUUUUAAUGGGCACUGGAAAAGAAGGGUCUGCUUGGGUUUCCCUUAAUCUCCUCUGAAACUUCACAUUUUUUAUGGUCUCUAGCAUGCAAUUUAGGAGUUAUAUCCUAUCUUGUUCCAUUCAUUAAUAGCAACAGCUUUAAUAUCAUCUGCCCAAUUAACCUAUAGCUUGCAAGCAGCCGGUUAUUAUGUUCUGUAAUUCCCGUCUAGCACCAUGCUACGCUUAAAAAUGCUGGAGGGUUGGUUGAUUGAUUUAAAACCUUGAAUUGGAUUCAGGGCCAGGGAUCUUCUCGAUUCCUUCUGUUUCCUAGGUUCAGAUGGUGAAUUCGGAUUCCACGAGGAGUGAGGAUGGGGGGCUGGGCCUUCUGCCAACAAAUGUGGGUAUUUUGGAGACCCCAGUUCUGGUUUCCACCCGAAAUGAUGUGCUGGUCUGUCGUUCUCCUUGGGGACCUAGAGGCAGAUGUAGACAAACAGCAGGUGAGCAGGAAGGGCAGUUGGAGCGGGCUGAGGCUGUAAACAACCUGAGCUGUAUGAAGGUCUUGCUUGGGCAGCACCGUCUCAAAGCUGCCACCCACUGGGCAUUUCCUGAAUUGACUUUCCACAGUCUGGGCAGGGACAGGUGUGCACUGAUUUGUAACAUAAAGGAGUCUUUGAGUUGGGAGGAGUCUUACCCAUCAU